UUUGAUGAUUUUGAGCCUGGCAUUUUACUUCUUGACAAUGUGUAUUUUGACAAAAAAUAUAUUCAAUUUCGAUCCUCUUACCAUUUUUUGAUUUGCAGUCAAACAUAAUUAAAAAAUUAAUCAAGAAAACAGACUCUGGAUAUUCUGUGCUAAUGUGUAGAUAAUGUUGGAGGUGAAACAUGAAGAGAUGUCUUUCAAUUAAGUGUUCUUUUUUUAAAGAUUAUUUUUGGGACUUUUCCCAUCAUUACACAGAGACAGUAGAUAGGCAUGAAAGGCGAGGAUAGAUGGGAGAUGACACGGAGCAAGGGGCAGUAGGUCGGAUUCAAACCUGCGCCGCUGCAGGACUCAGCCUACAUGGGGCGAACGCUCUUACUGGGCGAGUUAGAGGCCGCCCCAAACUAAGUCCUUCUUUAAACGCU